rnacentral:lncRNA from 1 species
AUAAUGAGAGCUUUUCGAUCGUUUUCAUUGUAUCCUUUUGUUAUUGCUAGUCCUAUUGCAAUUCCGAUUGGAGUUGUGAGCGAGAAAAAUAAAGCCAUUAUAGUCACAGCACGGGAUUUGAAUUUUGCCUGCAAAUUAAAGUGCCAAAUAAAUGUAUGACAUAAAUUUAUAAAAUCUUCCUACAUUUGGAAUAUAUAACAACUUUAUCAGUUGGCACAUUAAUACAUUAAUUAAUUAUUAUUACCAAUCAAUAAUAAAAUACCAACAGUUUCACAAUUAUUUGCCAAAUAGCGUAGGGCAUAUAUAUAUAACACAUGCAAUCUGAUUAUGAUUAUGGUUAAAAAAUCAAUUUGAUUCACAAUCUGAAUCUAAUCGAUUAAAGAAACUGAUAUUUUAUUUGGCUUGGUUUGGUUAUGUUUGGUUUUAAAUUUUGAAAACCGAUACUAUUUGGUUUGAUUUUGAUUUUACUAAAAACAAAUGACAAAAAUAACCAAAUCGAACCGAGAAAUUAGAUAUAUAAAUUUUAUAAUUAUUUAUAUAUUAUUCAUAAAUAAAAUAAAUUUUUUUUGUUAAAUUUCCCUUUUAAUUAACUUAAGUCUUUAAGUUUAUCAUUUUCUCAAGCCUAACACUUAAUGUUGGCCCAACUAUUACAACCCUAAGUCCAAGCCCAUCAAAAUUCAUUACAAAGUCUUUAUCUAUCCUACCUCACAUAAGAUAAUCAUACUUUCUCUUAAUUGAAUCACUUUGUUUGUGUAAUAAUAACUCUAGUAUUGUUUAAUUGAACCCACAAUAGCUUUUAUGUGAAUUAUUCAUGUACUAGGUGUUUGUGUCUAUUGAGAUAUGUAUUUAUUACUUUCAACCGAAAAAAAUCAGAAAAACCAAAUCAAACCAACAAUAAACAAACCGACAAUAACCAAACUUUCUUAAAAUAAAAUUAUUAAUUAGUUUGAUCUUGUUCUCGAAUAAAAUGUAAUUUAUUAAAGAAAUCAAAGAUAAAGGAGACAAUAGUAAAGAUAUUUUUUUUUAUUUGUGAUUUUUAAAAGAACGUGAAAAAGUAAAAUGUGACAAGAGUAUAACAUAGGUUAUACAGGUCACUAUUCCAAUAAAUAACAAUUAGAAAAGAAACAAAAAGAAAAUGCUUCAUAGUCAAUCGAUUCAAUCCCAUAUUCUAUUUGUACACAUGUAACUAACAAAGUUAUGUUUCAAUGGAAUAUCUUAACUCAAUAAGGUGUAUUAAUUAGAUAUUUUUAUUUUAUAUAUAUAUACUUUUUAAUAUGUAUCUAUAUUCGUCUAUUAGAUAAUAAGUUAAGUAUGUAAAUAUAUAUGUCAUAUCAUUUUAUUUGAUGCAUCAAACUCAAGUGAAAAAUAUUUGAGAUAUUUUAUGUCUUAUUGAGAUGAAUGUAUAUAAUUAAAGGAAAUUAUUUAUUUAUAACUUAACUACCUAGUAAACAUAUGAGAACACACGUGAAUAAAUUUUGAACAAAAAAUAUCUAACUGAAACAUUUUAUUAGGAGUUGAGAUAUUAAAUUGAAACAGGAUUUGGUAUAAUUGUCUAAAUGAAGUAUCUUGAUAAACUUAAGGGGCACGAACAGGCGAUAUGGUGAUGCUUCAUCCACUCAAUUUAUGUGAUAUAGUCCAUUCAAUAAAAAGGGCUUGCCCACCUUUAAUGUAAAAAAAAAUAGAGAAAAUUAAUUACCUGAGCAAUGGAUCCACCAAGUCCCACGCCUUCGAAAAAUUGAUGAAAAGUCAAAGCAACAAAAAGAGUCCUUAUAGUUUUGAGAUUUCCAGAAGCACCCAAAGCUAUUCCAAUUAUGACAGAGUGUACUAUUAUUCCCACUUCCAA